rnacentral:rRNA from 1 species
UACAGAGGGUGCGAGCGUUAAUCGGAAUUACUGGGCGUAAAGGGUGCGUAGGUGGUUUAAUAAGUUAGGUGUGAAAGUCCUGGGCUCAACCUGGGGACUGCGCCUAAUACUGUUGAGCUAGAGUAUUGUAGAGGAAGGUGGAAUUUCCGGUGUAGCGGUGAAAUGCGUAGAUAUCGGAAGGAACAUCAGUGGCGAAGGCGACUUUCUGGACAAAUACUGACACUGAGGCACGAAAGCGUGGGGAGCAAACAGG